rnacentral:rRNA from 1 species
CACGUAGGAGGCAAACGUUAUCCGGAUUUACUGGGCGUAAAGCGCAUGUAGGUGGUUCUGUAAGUAGGGCGUGAAAGCUCCCGGCUCAACUGGGAGAGGCCGUUCUAAACUACAGAGCUAGAGGGUGGUAGAGGGAGGUGGAAUUCCGGGUGUAGCGGUGGAAUGCGCAGAUAUCCGGAGGAACACCAGUGGCGAAAGCGGCCUCCUGGUCCAUUCCUGACACUCAGAUGCGAAAGCUAGGGUAGCAAACGGGAUUAGAUACUCGCGUAGUCCCU